GAUGAAGAACGCAGCGAAAUGCGAUAAGUAGUGUGAAUUGCAGAAUUCAGUGAAUCAUCGAAUCUUUGAACGCACAUUGCGCCCCUUGGUAUCCCGAGGGGCAUGCCUGUUCGAGCGUCAUUUCACCACUCAAGCCUGGCUUGGUGUUGGGCGACGUCCCCUUUGGGGACGCGCCUCGAAACGCUCGGCGGCGUGGCACCGGCUUUAAGCGUAGCAGAAUCUUUCGUUUUGGAAGUCGGGGCCCCGUCUGCCGGAAGACCUACUCGCAAGGUUGACCUCGGAUCAGGCAGGGAUACCCGCUGAACUUAAGCAUAUCAAUAAGCGGAGGA
rnacentral:misc_RNA from 1 species